AUGCUUGGCUCCAUAGCUCAGGGGUUAGAGCACUGGUCUUGUAAACCAGGGGUCGUGAGUUCAAAUCUCGCUGGGGCCUUAUUAUACUCUUUUGCUAUCUUUGCCUGGAGAAAGAGGCACCGCGCUGUUCCCUGGCUCACUGAUGUCUGAGGAGCUCUGGGAGAGUUCCUUGAGGUUCUUUCCAUUUUCCUUCCGGUGCCUUCAGCGCCCCUUCUCCCCGCUCGGGCAUGACGGCGGGUGUUUCAGCCUCCGCCCUGCUACCUCCAAGCUGUAACAUCUGCUUUUCCUCACUGAGAACUUGCACAUUUAUGAAAAAAAAAAAAAGUGCAAGCAAAAGUUCACAUUCCUGACACCCGGGGCCCAAAGACCACAACUUUGUCAUAUUUGCUUUCAGUCCUUUAAACAAAAGUAAGUGAGCAAAACUGUUUCUUUGCUGAGAGGCAAGUCUCUUGAGCAGUUCCUUCUUUGUGUUUACGUAUCUAUAGCCUUUGUUUACCUGUUGCAGCUGCCGGAGGUAGUGGGUGUGCAGGAGGAGCCUAGACUCUCAGUGAACACCGGAAAGGCGGUCUGAGCCUAACCCUCCGCGCCGGGUCAAGGGGUCCGCCCCCGGAGGAGGGCCAGCCGAAUGGGGCGGAGCCCGUCGGCCUGUAGCUCCGGGUUCGGAACACAGUAUCCAGGCCAGUGCGCCUGGACUGCUGGACCUUCACGGGUGCAGGUGGAAGAAGCUGGCUGUAGGGCGCGUCUCCCCUUUCCUGGAGCCCCAGCUCGCUCAAAAGGCCAAGACUUCGGGUCGAGAUGGAUAUGACUCGCCCCCGGGGCAGGCCACGAGCAGGCAGACACGUACUGGAGCUUGUGUGCCUCGGACUCUUCGACCACGCAGUACCUGUCCCAAAAGGAAGGUGACCUUAUUGUAGAAGCAGGAUGCCAGGACCAACCUCUAGCUGCGUGUGUGUGCGCGUGUAUGUGUGUGUGUGUUUGUGUGAUAGAGACACAGAGAGAGAGAGAGAGAGAGAGAGAGAGACAGACAGACAGACACAUACAGGCAGGCAGGCAGUCCCCCGUAAAAGUUGAACUAGUGAAUGAACCUCAGGCCUUCCAUUCCGGAGGAUUCAGGUCUGGGCGGGACAGCUGUACCCAAGAAAUGACAGCUGAGUAUAAAAGUCUCCUAGGGCUGGUCUGGUGAGGCUCUAGGAGGAAGGUUCAAAGGCUUACAUCCCUGUCCGGGGCAUAAUGGAAUGCAAGGGAAAAAAACAGAUCCGUAAACAAAUUUGAGAAGCCCUGGAGGAAGUGAAACUCAAACAAAACAGCUUGCUUGUGGGACAGCAAAGGCCUACCAGUAACCAGGAGCAUCCUCGCAUCUUUUCAUAGUCACCUAUACCAAAAACUGUGUAAAAGGCCAAUGGACUUCAAUAUCUACAUUGUUUGCCUUAUGGAAACCCUUCUGGAGAAGCUAGGAGCUUUUCCUUUUUAUUCUUUCG
rnacentral:tRNA from 1 species